UAUCAACUGGAUAGUCCAUGGCCAAGAUAGAUAAGAUUGUGUUAGCUGUUACAAGAGGAGGUUCCUUCAUCGGAUCUACAGUACUGACGAAGAUGUCUACUGGAGCAAGCAAAUUAGAAUUGAUAUUACCUUAGAGUUAGACGAUCCAAGUAGGUUUCACGAUCGAUUGGGAACCAUUUGGGGAACUGAUCGAGGAUCCAUGAAAAUGCAAACCAGAUUUCACAUAUCACAGAAGUUAGCCACAAACCCAAUGCAUCAUGCACUGGAUUUAGAAUCCGAUAACGAAGGAAGAAGGCGAGAAUAACAAGCCGUGCCACAAUAACCAUCCGCAGGGUCUGCAGACUGGAAAACCACAUUCAUUGCAAGCAACAAACAGAUCACCAUCCACAGUAAGCCCCACUUCAUCACCACAGAUCUCACAAACUUGACCGUCCAAGUUCUUCAACGGCUUUGGCUAAAGAAGAGAACAAAACAAAACAAAAACAACCAGAUCAGCCACAAACGCACAAACCAAAACUUUCACACACUAAGUUAACUACCUCCUCAUGGCCAUGAAUGACAACAAGCUCAUUGCGAUUGUGAGACCCAGCGACAAGUCCAGCGCUGGCUUCCAUGGCAGGCGAUCGACAGAGACCAGGUGUUCAGAGAAGGAUGAGAGUUUGGAGCAAGGAAGGUGUUUUAUGAAGGAGAAAGGUAGAGGAGGAAAAGGGUGGCAUGAGAUAUUGAACUGUCUUCUUCACCUAAUGUGUCCAUGUAAUGGGUGGUGAGUUGGUUGCUGUGUCAAAGUCCCGUCUUGCCUUGAAGUUAAGUUUCCUCCCCUCACUGUUCAACCGCCAAGGACCUCUCUUCUACUUCCUUUGCCAUCCCAACCAUCCAGUGAAUAUUAGGGUUUAUUUUUGUGAUUCCCAUAAAGAAUGGAAGGUGAAAAGAAGACGAUGUUUGGCAUGAGAAGAGGUGGUGGGAAAAAGCUGAGAGAGUAUGCUUAGAAUGCAAGCAGCUGAUGCUUAAAAUGCAAGAACAACCCCAAAACAAUUUCAAAUCGUUAG